rnacentral:rRNA from 1 species
AACGAACGCUGGCGGCAGGCCUAACACAUGCAAGUCGAGCGAGGACUUCGGUUCUAGCGGCGGACGGGUGAGUAACGCGUGGGAACGUGCCCUUUGCUACGGAAUAGCCCCGGGAAACUGGGAGUAAUACCGUAUGUGCCCUUCGGGGGAAAGAUUUAUCGGCAAAGGAUCGGCCCGCGUUGGAUUAGGUAGUUGGUGGGGUAAUGGCCUACCAAGCCGACGAUCCAUAGCUGGUUUGAGAGGAUGAUCAGCCACACUGGGACUGAGACACGGCCCAGACUCCUACGGGAGGCAGCAGUGGGGAAUCUUAGACAAUGGGGGAAACCCUGAUCUAGCCAUGCCGCGUGAGCGAUGAAGGCCUUAGGGUUGUAAAGCUCUUUCAGUGGGGAAGAUAAUGACGGUACCCACAGAAGUAGCCCCGGCUAACUCCGUGCCAGCCGCCGCAGUAAAAC